rnacentral:rRNA from 1 species
GCAAUCUACCUUUUACAGAGGGAUAGCCCAGAGAAAUUUGGAUUAAUACCUCAUAGUAUAGUGAUACCGCAUGGUAUUACUAUUAAAGUCACAACGGUAAAAGAUGAGCAUGCGUCCCAUUAGCUAGUUGGUAAGGUAACGGCUUACCAAGGCUACGAUGGGUAGGGGUCCUGAGAGGGAGAUCCCCCACACUGGUACUGAGACACGGACCAGACUCCUACGGGAGGCAGCAGUGAGGAAUAUUGGACAAUGGGCGCAAGCCUGAUCCAGCCAUGCCGCGUGCAGGAUGACGGUCCUAUGGAUUGUAAACUGCUUUUGCACAGGAAGAAACAACGCUACGUGUAGCGUCUUGACGGUACUGUGAGAAUAAGGAUCGGCUAACUCCGUGCCAGCAGCCGCGGUAAUACGGAGGAUCCAAGCGUUAUC